UACAGAGACUGCAAGCGUUAUUCGGAUUCACUGGGCGUAAAGGGUGCGCAGGCGGCCGUGUAUGUGAGGCGUGAAAGCCCGGGGCUUAACCCCGGAAUUGCACCUCAAACUACAUGGCUAGAGCAUUGGAGAGGGUAGCAGAAUUCAUGGUGUAGCAGUGAAAUGCGUAGAUAUCAUGAGGAAUACCAGAGGCGAAGGCGGCUACCUGGACAAUUGCUGACGCUCAGGCACGAAAGCGUGGGGAGCAAAAGGG
rnacentral:rRNA from 1 species